GUCCAGUUCAAUCUCCUCCUAUCAAGCACAGUAUAAGAGCUUUGUCUAUCAGGAAGAGUCAAAACAAAAGAGAUAGGUACAACCUAGACAAGCAAGUACUCUUCGGGGGUCCUGGCUUUGUUGCAGGUAUCUCUGCUCUGACAUUCCAUUCAUUACGUAUGGUAUUGGGCUUCAUCCUCUGCCACAGGGCCACAUCCUCUUAAUGCCCACGUUCAAGAUACUGAUACAGUUAUAGUCUCUGAAGUGAUCUCAGUUCCCUGAUGCUCACCUUCCAACUUCCUCUUCAUCUGUCUCACUGUGGAAACUAGUAACUGGGGCUGCCAAGAAAAUUGUGGGUAAGAAAAUACAGAGCUCAAAUAAGCCUGAGUAAACCAAUGAAUGCAAUGUCAUAAGUGAGUGUACAGGGAAGAAAAGGAGCUUUCGAGUCAAUAAUAGGUUAAAAUUUUCUCUUCUACUCAUAGGCAAUUUAUACAAGCCACAUAUACCACACCACAAACAACAUACACUAUGCACACAUACCACAC
rnacentral:lncRNA from 1 species